CAGCCGCCGCGGUAAUACGUAGGUGGCAAGCGUUAAUCGGAAUUACUGGGCGUAAAGCGUGCGCAGGCGGUUCGCUAAGACAGAUGUGAAAUCCCCGGGCUUAACCUGGGAACUGCAUUUGUGACUGGCGGGCUAGAGUAUGGCAGAGGGGGGUAGAAUUCCACGUGUAGCAGUGAAAUGCGUAGAGAUGUGGAGGAAUACCGAUGGCGAAGGCAGCCCCCUGGGCCAAUACUGACGCUCAUGCACGAAAGCGUGGGGAGCAAACAGGAUUAGAUACCCCCGUAGUCCCUGUCUCUUAUAC
rnacentral:rRNA from 1 species